GGGGAGACGAAAGGGCCUAUUAAGAAACCUUGGUCAACUUCCUUCUGGAGGAGUAGGUUUAUAGUGUCUGGAGCUGCUAGGGCUGUCUGCAAGUUUUUACAUUCCAAGAUUCCUGUAGGCAUGUAAAUAAUACCCGUGUGAAACCCCAAAGUAAAUCCUGCCACCAAAAACUCAACGAGAUGUCGCGAUGGGUGCUCACACAAAAGCUUUUCCAGUAGGGAGACAUUAAGAGACGAUAAAUACUGCUUAGGAUAUAAUUUAUUGGGGCACAUUACUUUUGAGUGAGCCCUGAAACAUUGGGAGCAGACGUGAAGCAGUCUGCAGGCACUGUAUCCGCAAGUGCC